rnacentral:rRNA from 1 species
UAUACAUGACUCUGCGCAUAUCAAUAAGCGGAGGAAAAGAAACUAACAAGGAUUCCCUUAGUAACGGCGAGUGAAGCGGGAAGAGCUCAAAUUUGAAAUCUUCAAGGUUCUACCUUGACGAAUUGUAGUUUAUAGAAGUGUUUUCUGUUAGUAGAGUGGCAAAAGUUCUUUGGAAUAGGACAUCAUAGAGGGUGAGAAUCCCGUAUUUGGUCAUUCUUUCUAGCUUUGUGAUACACUUUCAACGAGUCGGAUUGUUUGGGAAUGCAGUCCAAAAUGGGUGGUAAAUUUCAUCUAAAGCUAAAUAUUGGCGAGAGACCGAUAGCGAACAAGUACCGUGAGGGAAAGAUGAAAAGAACUUUGAAAAGAGAGUUAAACAGUACGUGAAAUUGUCAAGAGGGAAGCGUUUGACACCAGUGUUGUUUUUCCGAAAAUCAAUUACGAAUGUUUUGUUUUUGAGAAGUUAUGACUUCAUCGGCUUGCUUCUUUCUUUUCAGAAAUUAUUGAAUGCACUUUUCGGUUAACAAGUCAACAUCAAUUUCUUUUGUUGUAAAAGAGUAUUCGGAAGGUGGCUUUCUUUUCGGAGAAAGUGUUUAUAGCCCUAUACUUCUACAAUCGGAGAGAUUGAGGUCUGCAGCGUAGAUCCUUCGGGGUUAGAUACAUUUGUGCUAAGUUAUAGCUUUUCAUAGACAACUUGUUGACUAUGUUUAGUCUUGUAGCUUACUCGCUUAUGCCAUUUUACCUACGCUUAGGAUGUUGACGAGACUGUCGAUCUCAUCAAUACAUGACUCUGUGCAUAUCAAUAAGCGGAGGAAAAGGUACCUACGCUUAGGAUGUUGACGCGCGUGCUCGAUCUAUACAUGACUCUGCGCAUAUCAAUAAGCGGAGGAAAAGAGGGCUAUUACCUACGCUUAGGAUGUUGACGAGACUGUCGAUCUCAUCUAUACAUGACUCUGUGCAUAUCAAUAAGCGGAGGAAAAGCUGUUACCUACGCUUAGGAUGUUGACGAGACUGUCGAUCUC